rnacentral:rRNA from 1 species
UGCAAGUCGAGCGGAAACGAUGAAGAGCUUGCUCUUUAGGCGUCGAGCGGCGGACGGGUGAGUAAUGCUUGGGAAUAUGCCUUAUGGUGGGGGACAACAGUUGGAAACGACUGCUAAUACCGCAUAACGUCUACGGACCAAAGGGGGGGAUCUUCGGACCUCUCGCCAUUUGAUUAGCCCAAGUGAGAUUAGCUAGUAGGUGAGGUAAGAGCUCACCUAGGCGACGAUCUCUAGCUGGUUUGAGAGGAUGAUCAGCCACACUGGGACUGAGACACGGCCCAGACUCCUACGGGAGGCAGCAGUGGGGAAUAUUGCACAAUGGGGGAAGCCCUGAUGCAGCCAUGCCGCGUGUGUGAAGAAGGCCUUCGGGUUGUAAAGCACUUUCAGUUGUGAGGAAAGGGGUGUCGUUAAUAGCGGCAUUCUGUGACGUUAACAACAGAAGAAGCACCGGCUAACUUCGUGCCAGCAGCCGCGGUAAUACGAGGGGUGCAAGCGUUAAUCGGAAUUACUGGGCGUAAAGCGUACGUAGGCGGUCUAUUAAGCAAGAUGUGAAAGCCCAGGGCUCAACCUUGGAACUGCAUUUUGAACUGGUAGACUAGAGUACUGUAGA